rnacentral:misc_RNA from 1 species
GCCACCUUUCUUGACAUUGCCAAAGCAGACAAAAGUUGAUGAUGGUGAUUUGGCAAUGCCAAAGGAGAUGGAAGAGAAAAGGGUUAGUGAGAUAGCAGUUGGUGGUGGANGUCUGUGGCAGUUACUCGUUUUCCUAGUGAGCAGAAACGACCUGUUGGACCUCUAGUAGUGGUGGGUGUAAGACAUGGGGUUCUUUGGCUUAUUGAUAGAUAUAUGUG